GCUCCAGUAGUGUAAAGCGCAGAGCAUACCGGCCCGGUCAGCGGGAGGUGCGGGUUCGAGUCCCGCCUGGCGCU
rnacentral:tRNA from 1 species